ensembl:snRNA U6 U6 spliceosomal RNA
GUGCUCACUUUACAGCACAUGAACUAAAACUGGAAUAAAACUGAGAUUAGCAUGGUGCCUGCAUAAGGAUGACAUGCAAAUUCAUGAGGAGUUCCAUCUUUUU